rnacentral:rRNA from 1 species
UACGUAGGGUGCGAGCGUUGUCCGGAAUUACUGGGCGUAAAGAGCUCGUAGGUGGUUUGUCGCGUUGUUCGUGAAAUCUCACGGCUUAACUGUGAGCGUGCGGGCGAUACGGGCAGGCUAGAGUACUGCAGGGGAGACUGGAAUUCCUGGUGUAGCGGUGGAAUGCGCAGAUAUCAGGAGGAACACCGGUGGCGAAGGCGGGUCUCCGGGCAGUAACUGACGCUGAGGAGCGAAAGCGUGGGGAGCGAACAGG